GGAAAACGUUAGAUAUCUGCUAAUACGAAAAGGUGGUGAAGGACAAUCCUCAAUUUAUGCAGCACAUAGAAGAGGUGAUCUCGGAUCUGUAGUAGAGCAGCCUGCAGCUGCUGUUGCAGCUCCUGUCCUUGACCUGUACCCGGAAACCUAGGGAAGCCACACACUGCAAGAUAUACACAGAAAUGCAGAAUAAUCCUCCCCUCAUACAAAUAAUAUGGACAGCCCACACACAAACAAAUACACUAUCUGCACAAAUGUAACCCGCUAACAAUCCACAUACACGCACACAACCCCAUAUGCAGCCUCUCACAUGCAAUACCCCAAACAGCCCCCACACACUACCAAACACACAAUGUGACAUAUCCAUCCUCACACAAUACCACAAGCAGCCCUCAUACACAGCCCACAUUCAUAUGUAUCAUACACAAUACCAUAAACUACUAAUGAACAUAUACAAUAUAAUAGCUUAUAUACGCACAAAUACAAUGAUACAAAGCAACUGCAAUAAAAAUAACACAAGCCGAAUACGGCAGCAUACACACCUCAAUUUAAAAAAAUAGGACCGGUACUCUACGGGACAUCACCAUCCUAUAUCGGCACAGUGCUGCUAAAAGGUUGCCUACCCCUGUUCUAGAUCAUAUGAACUAAGACUAAAAUAUGUUACUUUUUAUAUACGUUAAGCAGCACUUUAACUGCUUGUUAAUUUAUGAGUGCAUUUUUUUUUUACAUGUUAAUAGGUUUGUGUAAACAUUAUUACACUGUCUUCCUCAUCUUUUCCAUGGAGUAUUAACAAGAUAGAAGGAAAUAAAAUGAUGGGAUAAUUAAUGUUAACAUGCCAAAUUCACUCUUUCUAACAUAACAAUGUAUAAUAAGGCAGAACCUGGGUUAUUGAAUAAGGAUCAAAUGUAAUCUAGG